UACGGAGGGUGCAAGCGUUAUCCGGAUUCACUGGGUUUAAAGGGUGCGUAGGAGGGCAGGUAAGUCAGUGGUGAAAUCCUGGGGCUUAACCCCAGACUGCCGUUGAUACUAUCGGUCUUGAAUGUCGUGGAGGUGAGCGGAAUAUGUCAUGUAGCGGUGAAAUGCUUAGAUAUGACAUAGAACACCAAUUGCGAAGGCAGCUUGCUACACGGAUAUUGACUCUGAGGCACGAAAGCGUGGGAUCAAACAGGAUUAGAACCCGGGUAGGUCCAAGACCGAAGUACGUCU
rnacentral:rRNA from 1 species